rnacentral:snRNA from 1 species
GAUACAGAGAAGAUUAGCAUGGCCCCUGUGC